rnacentral:rRNA from 1 species
AAUACGGAGGAUCCGAGCGUUAUCCGGAUUUAUUGGGUUUAAAGGGUGCGCAGGCGGCCAUUUAAGUCAGCGGUUAAAUCGUGGGGCUCAACCCCAUUCUGCCGUUGAUACUGGGUGGCUUGAUUGCGGUCGAGGUUGGCGGAAUUCGUUGUGUAGCGGUGAAAUGCAUAGAUAUGACGAAGAACACCGAUUGCGUAGGCAGCUGACCAGACCGCAAAUGACGCUCAUGCACGAAAGUGCGGGGAUCGAACAGGAUUAGAUACCCUGGUAGUCCGCACAGUAAACGAUGAAUACUUGUUUUCGGCGAUAUAAUGUCGGAGGCAAAGCGAAAGCGAUAAGUAUUCCACCUGGGGAGUACGCCGGCAACGGUGAAACUCAAAUGAAUUGGCGGGG